CCUACGGGGGGCUGCAGUCGAGAAUCAUUCACAAUGGGGGAAACCCUGAUGGUGCGACGCCGCGUGGGGGAAUGAAGGUCUUCGGAUUGUAAACCCCUGUCACGUGGGAGCAAAUUAAAAAGAUAGUACCACAAGAGGAAGAGACGGCUAACUCUGUGCCAGCAGCCGCGGUAAUACAGAGGUCUCAAGCGUUGUUCGGAAUCACUGGGCGUAAAGCGUGCGUAGGCUGUUUCGUAAGUCGUGUGUGAAAGGCGCGGGCUCAACCCGCGGACGGCACAUGAUACUGCGAGACUAGAGUAAGGGAGAGGGAACCGGAAUUCUCGGUGUAGCAGUGAAAUGCGUAGAUAUCGAGAGGAACACUCGUGGCGAAGGCGGGUUCCUGGACAUUAACUGACGCUGAGGCACGAAGGCCAGGGGAGCGAAAGGGAUUAGAUACCCCAGUAGUC
rnacentral:rRNA from 1 species